CAGUAGCCGCGGGAAUACGGAGGAUCCAAGCGUUAUCCGGAAUCAUUGGGUUUAAAGGGUCCGUAGGCGGUCUUGUAAGUCAGUGGUGAAGGCCCAUCGCUCAACGGUGGAACGGCCAUUGAUACUGCAGGACUUGAAUUAUUGGGAAGUAACUAGAAUAUGUAGUGUAGCGGUGAAAUGCUUAGAGAUUACAUGGAAUACCAAUUGCGAAGGCAGGUUACUACCAAUUGAUUGACGCUGAUGGACGAAAGCGUGGGUAGCGAACAGGAUUAGAUACCCCGGUAGUCCCUGUCUCUUAUAC
rnacentral:rRNA from 1 species